rnacentral:pre_miRNA from 1 species
UUAACUCAUAUUUGUAUGGAAUGGGAUCGUUGGCGUACGUUUGCCGCUAGGGGCGCUGUUCCAACUGCAUACAAAAUUGGGCUG